AGCGAACGCUGGCGGCAGGCUUAACGCAUGCAAGUCGAGCGGGCGUAGCAAUACGUCAGCGGCAGACUGGUGAGUAACGCGUGGGAACGUACCUUUUGGUUCGGAACAACACAGGGAAACUUGUGCUAAUACUGGAUAAGCCCUUACGGGGAAAGAUUUAUCGCCGAAAGAUCGGCCCGCGUCUGAUUAGCUAGUUGGUAGGGUAAUGGCCUACCAAGGCGACGAUCAGUAGCUGGUCUGAGAGGAUGAUCAGCCACAUUGGGACUGAGACACGGCCCAAACUCCUACGGGAGGCAGCAGUGGGGAAUAUUGGACAAUGGGGGCAACCCUGAUCCAGCCAUGCCGCGUGAGUGAUGAAGGCCCUAGGGUUGUAAAGCUCUUUUGUGCGGGAAGAUAAUGACGGUACCGCAAGAAUAAGCCCCGGCUAACUUCGUGCCAGCCGCCGCCGUAA
rnacentral:rRNA from 1 species